rnacentral:rRNA from 1 species
UACGGAGGGUGCAAGCGUUAAUCGGAAUUACUGGGCGUAAAGCGCACGCAGGUGGCUGAGAAAGUCGAUUGUGAAAGCCCUGGGCUUAACCUGGGAAUUGCAGUCGAAACUACUCGGCUAGAGUAUGGGAGAGGGUAGUGGAAUUCCCGGUGUAGCGGUGAAAUGCGUAGAUAUCUGGAGGAAUACCGGAGGCGAAGGCGGCUCACUGGGUCUCUUCUGACGCUGAGGAACGAAAGCUAGGGGAGCAAACGGG